rnacentral:rRNA from 1 species
AUUGAACGCUGGCGGCAGGCCUAACACAUGCAAGUCGAACGAGUGGCGGACGGGUCAGUAAUGUCUGGGCAACUGCCUGAUGGAAGGGGAUAACUACUGGAAACGGUAGCUAAUACCGCAUACCAUCGGAUGUGCCCAGAUGGGAUUAGCUAGUAGGUGGGGUAACGGCUCACCUAGGCGACGAUCCCUAUCUGGUCUGAGAGGAUGCCCGGCGACACUGGAACUGAGACACGGUCCAGACUCCUACGGGAGUCAGCAGUGUGGAAUAUUGCACAAUGGUCGCAAGCCUGAUGCAGCCAUGCCGCGUGUAUGAAGAAGGCCUUCGGGGUGUAAAGUACUUUCGGCGGGGAGGCGUUACCCGCAGAAGAAGCACCGGCUAACUCCGUGCCAGCAGCCGCGGUAAUAC